UAUGUUCUUGUUUUGGAGAAAGAUCCUGAA
rnacentral:piRNA from 1 species